rnacentral:tRNA from 1 species
UUCUGUAUAGCUCAGUCAGUAAAGAAUCUGCCUGCAAUGCAGGAAACCUGGGUUCGAUUCCUGGGUCAGGAA